GCUACGUGUUUUUUAUGAUCAAAUCAGUGGACUUUUGAUUAUUGUCCAAAACGGCCCAAAUUAUUUAGGGUUGUUCAAUUUUAGCGGACGGAGUUGGAGAGUCAGCCGUCGUGGUUCUUCACAUCUCACCGACGACGAACGGCGAUCGUCUUUGUAACGGCACUUGGAAACAUUAAUCCAAGCAUUAACUUUUCUGCGCCACUCCUCCCACUCUCUUGAAUUAAAUUGGCCAUAGCAUUCUCUAAAGUAAUCCCCUGAAGCUUCAACUAUAAAUGGCUUUGUUGCUUGGGAUAAACAGUGGCGAGUUCAUCUGUUUUUCUUGCCGAUUUAAAAGCUGGAUGCUAUUCAAACACCGCCGAGGUCCCUCUCCUCAGAUUAAAAGAGGCAAGAAAUGUUAAGAAAGGUGGUCUCCAUAAAGAGAAUGUGACUCCGGCUAGCCACCACCGUGUUUUGUUAGCUCUUUCUACUCAACCUUUUGAUAGUCCGCUCUUAUUAUAUGUUUCUAAAACAGUCAAACUGUCAACGAGAAGGUACCUAUUCUUAUUCCUAAUUUUUUGUUUUUGGAUUUAACGUUAAACUAAGUCGUCACUAACCAUAAUUUAUUUACUCUGUUUUUUUUUUCAGUUGAUUUUGUUUUUUUUGAAUAUUUUUUUCAGUUGAUUUUGAUUCAUGUUCAAUAGCUUAAUACUUUCAAAAAUCUAUUGAGGGAAGGAGUGAUGUAUGGGCUUCGUGGUGUUGAUGCCGCUGGAAGCACGUUUCACUGACCACACGAGCUUUGUUGAGGUCACGGAACAAGUGACCAUCCCAGCAGAGAAGUUUCGUUUUCAAAAGUAUGAUCAACUCAUGGCUUUGGCUAACACCAACGUAGAUUUGUCCGGUUUGUAUAACAAUUUUGAACUCAUACUUUAACCGUAUAGUAGUAUCAGCACUGUUUUCAAUAAUGAAAAUCAUUCCAUUCAUCAUGUGAUGAUAACAAUCUAAUUAGACAGGUACAAAACCAAUCAACUGAUCUAUCUUAAGUUGUUUAGUAUUUUGUUAGUUUGAUUAAGUGAGUCCACUGAUAAACCAAACACAACUAUGCGAAGCUCAUAGUGUGUGUUUAAUAAAAUUGAUUAAGAAAUCAGAUCGCAGUCAGUUGAUUGGAUUGCAGGAAAGACAUCUCUUUCUCUCUGCAAAGCAAAACUGGGUUAGAUCCAGCGACUAUAGCUUCCUUGUGCUUACUGAUAAGUUCAAAGUUCACUCAUUUAUGAGACUAAACCUGUGAUUCAAUUUCAUAUAAUGGAAAUAUUCCAGAACAAACUUAGGAUGAAUUGGAUGACUUCAAUGCUUGGUUAGAUAUCUCUCCACUCUAAAUCAAAUAAGAAAAUCUGCAACUCUGGAGAUGUAAAUGAAUGUAAAUCGAUGGAAGCUAAAAUCAGAAAACAAAAACUUGAUUUUGUGAAGCCUGCUCUAGGGCUUAGCUUAUUAUACGUUUUGUGUUCUGUAAAUAUUAUAUAAUUUUGGGGAUCUCGGAUGUUUUGUGGUUGUAAUUCAUGCCAUCAUUGAGAAGAGAAAAGUACACUCAUAUGGUUAUCAUAUGGUUAUUGAUUUUGUGCUGACUAAUAGAUUCCCGGUUAAAGGUGUAAUCAGAUUUAUCAGGAUGCCAUGAUGUGUAUCGUUCCAUAGGUACCUGCACGGCCUGAACUGCAGUUUUUUGGAGUUAAUGGUUCGUGACCCUCCAGUUUAUUAGGUUUCAGAUUGUCCCCCGGUGACCAGGAGAUAUUUGAUAUAAGAAGCUAUAUCAGGCAAUUUCAUUGAGUUUUUUUUUCUUGAAUUAUAUAGUUGGAUGUGUAACUGAUGAUUUUUGCAACUGUUUGUAUAAUUCAAGACUAGAUCAUGAUGUAGCAUUUUGAAAUAAUGCCAAUUGUAAAUAGUUGUUAAUCAAUGUUUGAGAUUUUUUCCAUACA